UACGUAGGGGGCAAGCGUUAAUCGGAAUUACUGGGCGUAAAGCGUGCGCAGGCGGUUUUGUAAGUCUGAUGUGAAAUCCCCGGGCUCAACCUGGGAAUUGCAUUGGAGACUGCAAGGCUAGAAUCUGGCAGAGGGGGGUAGAAUUCCACGUGUAGCAGUGAAAUGCGUAGAGAUGUGGAGGAACACCGAUGGCGAAGGCAGCCCCCUGGGUCA
rnacentral:rRNA from 1 species